rnacentral:rRNA from 1 species
UACGUAGGGACCGAGCGUUGUCCGGAUUCAUUGGGCGUAAAGAGCUCGUAGGCGGUCUGUCGCGUCUGCUGUGAAAACUCGGGGCUUAACCCCGGGCCUGCAGUGGGUACGGGCAGACUAGAGUGCGGUAGGGGAGACUGGAAUUCCUGGUGUAGCGGUGAAAUGCGCAGAUAUCAGGAGGAACACCGGUGGCGAAGGCGGGUCUCUGGGCCGUAACUGACGCUGAGGAGCGAAAGCAUGGGGAGCGAACAGG